rnacentral:tRNA from 1 species
CAGAGCUGCAGCCGGCUCGGCUAGGCGGUGGCCGAGGCUUUCGUCUUCGGCAACCAGAACUUUGGCUACACCGUCGAUCUUGGCGGCUUGCUCUGC